rnacentral:lncRNA from 1 species
UAAUCAAACCAUUUACCACAUCUUAGUAUCAUGUAUGAGGAUGGUGUGUGCAAAAGCUUGGGUCAGAAUGGUUAAAAUAUGGGAUUUCAUGAAGGUUUGAAUGCAAAUGGUCAAAAAUGCACAUAAAUGAAUCAGAAAUAGUGUGUGCAAAAGCUUGGGUCAGAAUGGUUAAAAUAUGGGAUUUCAUGAAGGUUUGAAUGCAAAUGGUCAAAAAUGCACAUAAAUGAAUCAGAAAUUCAUAUUAAAUUCCACGUGUCAUGAAAUAAUGGGGCAAUGAUACCAUAAAAUCAAGGACUCAUCAGGGAUCACUCACAAAAAAUUUCAUAAUUUUUUAUGUAUUUUUGCUAUUUUGAAAAAAA